GCUGUUAUGGCUCAGUCGGUAGAGCGUCGCCUUGGUAAGGCGGAGGCCACGGGUUCGAUUCCCGUUAACAGCU
rnacentral:tRNA from 1 species